UACGUAGGCAGCGAGCGUUGUUCGGAGUUACUGGGCGUAAAGGGUGCGUAGGCGGUUGUUUAAGUUUGGUGUGAAAUCUCCCGGCUCAACUGGGAGGGUGCGCCGAAUACUGAAUGACUAGAGUCCUGGAGAGGGUCGUGGAAUUCCCGGUGUAGCGGUGAAAUGCGUAGAGAUCGGGAGGAACACCAGAGGCGAAGGCGGCGACCUGGACAGGUACUGACACUAAACUACGAAAGCGUGGGGAGCAAACAGG
rnacentral:rRNA from 1 species